CUUUGCAGGCUAUUUCACUGGCUAAAUGUGGUCUUCAGGGUCCUGGGCUCUUCUUUGCGAGGGACAUGCAAGGAUGAGUAAUCUGACAGAUUCUGUUUAUAAUACGGCAUAAAACCCAUUGGCAGCGAGCCAGCUGGUUAAAGGAUUACAGUAGCUGUCCCAAGGACUCUGAGCAACACGCAAGAAUAAAUGUCAGUGACAGCUCAACGCAACUGAAGGAAAGUGAGGAGGGUAACAAAACCUGCUCUUCAAAACAGGUCUGUGUUCAAAACCUCCACUGCUAAAGCCCAAGGAGCAAAUGUUUCCUUUUAUAUAGAGCAAGCUAGGAGCUGAACGUCAUGUAACAGUUUGGCCUGGCUUGAUCGAUUGGUUAGGUGUAUUGAUGCCAGUGGGACUGCUGAAAUUGAACACCCAAUUUGCAGGACUGUGAUUCACAUGCUGGAUGUAUUAUGCCGUCUUUUCCCCAGAGAUUAGAUAGACAGUCAUUGCAGUGUCUGUCUGUUUGUUUGUUUGUUUUUAAAUCUCACAGGCUUCCUCAGGGGAAGAUGGCUGGUUUCUAGAAGCUGUUCUCACCACAGGAAGUUAACUGCAUCUCCAGCAGCGAGGGCCUUCCUGCCUUGCAAUGCUGAGUAUUCCUAUCAAAUUCAGUGGGACAGGCUGUCAGGAAGAUGCUCUCCAGAAGGACUUUUCUUCUUCUAAUUUUAUUGCCACUCCUCUUUUGAAGGUGAAUUUUAUCAUUGGCUUCAGGAUCAAGUGA
rnacentral:lncRNA from 1 species